AAUUAUAUUUUUUAAAUCUAGAAUAAAUAUAAUGGAAUUCUAAAUGAAUAUAAUAGAAUAGGAUAGAAUUUUUAUUUUAUCAAAAAAUUAAUGAAGCGAAUCCAUUUACUCCCGAUUUUCUGAAUAAACAUUACGAUAGAAUUUUCGUUUCGGUUAAAAAAAUUAUUCAUCUGCGCUUAAUUAUAUAAAACAUUCGUGGAAGAACGAAAAAAAAACCGUAAAACGAACGUAAAGAUCAAUCUCAAACGUGAAAAUCAACAUUGCACCAUAUAGAUCAAAUACAAAAUCAACCGAUCAAAUAUUUGUCGUUUAUUUAUCCUUCGGAGGAAAACGAAUAUCGAACGAUGAACUCGUAAUGUGAGAAACAUUUCCGAGUACGAUUUAUGGAGCGUCUAUUUCGAGCGGAAAAACAUCCGGAAAUUUUUUUUUUUCUUUUUUUCUUUUUUCCCUAGCAUGAUGUCGUACCGACUGGUUGGAUACGCGAAAACGCGGUUAAAAACUGUGGCUUAAAACCAGUUGGUAUGUUUAUUUACCGUGGAAUAUUUCGAUGAAACGGUCUUUUAUUCGAAUAUCUGUCUGGUUACUCGGAUUUGUUAGAUAUUUCGUUCUAAUUCCAACAUCGUGAACGAAGCACCAAUGUUGCGAAUCAGCCUUUCGGCUCGAAAAUUGUCCUUCGUUUUCCCCGUUGGUGUUGAUUGCUUUCGUUUUUUCCUUUUUUUCUUUUUUUUUACCUUUUUUUUUUUUUUAAUUUUGAAUUUCGUUGGAUAAAUGUAACGGAUAGCUUUUAUUUAGAAAUAUAAAGUCCCCUCGAGAGUUGUGAGAGAUAUUUUUGUUUUUAUACAUUGAUAUUACCAUACUAAAGUUUAAAGAAAGGAAGAGUAAUGGAAAGUAAAAUGGAAAGAAUAAAUAAUACAUUCUGGGUUUGCUAAUAGGCUGUUAUCGGUAAAGCCAUCUAGAAAGUUAAUGUCUUAGAUAUUAGAAUAAUAUGGUUAGGUCAGUGAAUACUUAGACAGGUACUAAGCUAAUAUAAAUAAAUAAAUAAUUUAUGAGUUGUUUGAAGUGGUUAGGUUAUAUGAUUCAAUUUAUACCUCACAAAUAAUAUUCAUAGAGUAAUCUUUAUCAAUCAUUACAUAUACUUCAUUAAUUUCGUCAAUCUUUGUAUUUUUCUUUUUAUUUUCGAUUCGAGAAAUAAUAUUAUUACAUCUUUUACAAUUUUUUUUAUUUAUUCAAUAGCAUCUUAUUAAUAUCUUAGAUUUUUAUCGUAUAAGUAAACAAAUCGCGAAUUAAAAAUUAAAAAAUUGAAAAGCAAAAGAAGCAAGUAUAUAUAAACCGAUAUCUUAAAGACUUAUUUGCUUUUAACGUAAACCAUGCUCGAAUGAAACGAGCAAUUAAUUAGUGAGGUUAGAUAAAACGAAAAGGCUCGAUUUUUACGAAAUUAAUGUGAAAUUAAUGCGCGAUAUUAACUGAAAUGAUCGAUGCUUAAUUAAACGGUAUUUCAAGUGAAAUUUUAUUGAGCGAAUCGACGAUAAGUAUUAUCCGUAUAUUCUUUUCGCGACGUCGUCGUUCGGUAUAUUUAGAAGUCGCAUAUCGAUUUGUCGCUUGGCGGCGCUAGUGUCGUGUGAUUAAUUUCGAGACGAUAGUAAAUUAAAAAGAAAUAGAAUAUGGGGAAUGGUUACACGAGAUGCAUUAAUUAUUAUUACGUUGCACGAUAAUUUUUUUGUAAUUAAGAUUAAAUUUCAAAAAAUAUAUCUCGUUAAUUAUAGAGACUUGUUUAUUAAUCGUGAUAACAAUUUACGUAUAUGGCAUUUUUAUCGAUCACUUAUCUCGUUAAUUGGAGCGUUUUAAAUUGCACUGAAUUCUAACUAUUGCAUCAGGAAUGGAUAUCUUUUAAACUAAACGAGCUUCGAUAUGCAAAUGUCAAGUCAGUUACAAUUUUUACUACGACUUUUGAAUGUCGACGAAUAUUAUAUUCAUUUAUGUAAUAUUGUUUUUUUUUUUUCAAUAAUAAAUUUAAUUAAUUCAAAAAUAAUAAAUUGCAACAAGCAAAAUGGCGUCCAAUAAAACUUAUACACUUGAUUCUACUAAUAAAAAAAAUUAUGUGUAUAUCUUUUUAUAUUUAUAUCACUAUUUUUAAAAAUAAAAUCACUUUUGUCGAAAUUAAUCAACUAAGGUAAAAGAAAGACUUAAAUAAGAAGCCAGUUACUCUUAAGAAAAAAUUAUCUUCAACACUGUGAAAUCGAUAGCUCGCCAACCCCAAGAACGAGAAAGUUAAUUCCAAUUCAAGUUAAAGGAGAAAUAAAAUAAAAAUUUAACAAGAACCCAUUACUCUUAAAAAAAAAAGAAAGAAAAAAAAGAAAAUUCGAGUAACCAAUUUACAAGUGAAAUUACUUCGAACACGCGAAAUCGAUAACUUCACCGAGGAAAACUAGUCUCGAAGAAGAGUAACUAGGGAAAAGUAAAUGUAACUAGGGGAAAGGGAGUAAAAAAUAAUUAGCAGGAAACAAUGGAUAUUCUCGAAUAAUCAUCGCCACUGUAAAUUUCACGGGCGCACGUGACACGAUUCGACGCAUAAACCGACGCGCGCACAACCGAACCGGAAAUGGCGCAUUGUGCGGUAUAUCCCUGUGCCGAGAUAUCUGCGAUUCUGGGGUUGGAAGGCAUCCGAACGCCGCGUAUGCAGGUGAUUGCGUUCGCCUGUGCAAUGCGACUCGAACCAGGCAUUUCGAUAUUAGAAUAGCAAUGAGUUAAUAAAGGAGGAGCUCGAAGAUGUCUGUGCGAACGCGAGAAAAUCCCCGGUUUCGAUUUUUUAUCGCUUGAAAUUAUGGGAUGUAUCGAUUGAAAAUAUUUUUCUUUUUCAAAUUAAAUUAAAUAACGCGAGGUUAAAAUUAAAUCGUGUUAUUACGUUAUUGUCGCGUAGAAUAUGCAAAUUAACAAACAUUCUGAAAUAUAAAUACGAAAAUUUAUAUUAAAACGUUUAUUAAAUAUUAUUUAUUACAUGUAUGUGUUAUUGGAAUUUUUUUAUUUAAUAAAUAUUGAGAGAUGGACUUAUAUUUAGCAUAAAUAUCAUUUCACGCAUUUAUUUCAACGUGUCGAUCAAUUUUUAAUAUGUAAGUAAGGAAAAGGAAAAAUUUCAAUCGAUAAUUUAACAAAAAUCAAAAUUCUUCUAAAUUUAAAAUUUAUUAGAAAAUAAUUGUACAAUUUUUAUUAUUUUUAUUAUUUAUAAGUUUCAAAAAUUUUUCGUUCAAAUCAGAAGAAAUGAAGAAUCGGAAAAAUACUUUCUAUUUCGUAAUAUUCCAAUGAAUUGAAUUCAAAAUUUAUAGGUCGUUUCAAAAGUCAUCCAACUCCCGUGGAGAGAGUAGAUUGAUAAAGUUUGAUUUCGCAAUUCGUUCUCGAGCCCUUGAUCAAAAGACGAAAAUAACGAGGAAAGAUAAACGAGGGAAAUUAGUAGAAGGGCCGAAGGCAGAAGGGUAAUUCUAUUUACGUUAAUUUUACUACGGAUGCGCGCUUCCGUCGUUGGAGAACGGAAAAUAAGGAAAACAGAGGCGAAACGAUAAUUUUAAGCGAAACUCGAUUAACGCUACUCUUGCGAAACUUGUUUGCACACUUUCGUUCGUGUCGCGAUAUUCCCGAUAAAAAAAAGCAAUUGAACCGUAGAAUAAAAAAAAAUUUUCGCAAUGUUUAUAAGAGGCGAAAUUGUUUAUGAAGAUUUUGUAUCCUGAAAAUUUUCUGUGUUGUGUAAUAUUUAUUUUGUAAACAAAUUGUUAAUUACAAGUCGUAAUUUUAUGCACAAGAAAAAUAUUUAUUGAGCUUUAACCCGACAAAAAUUUUUCAUCUUAUAAAGAUACUUUAUGUAUUUUUUUUUUUUUUUUUAUAUAUAAUAUGCGAUAUCCGUUUUCUCGUUAUUUUUAUUUAUAACCUCAAAUUGAAUCAAUUUUUCUAAUAUAAUUUCAAAUAUUACGAAAAAUCUUUUAUUUAGCUAGAAAUGUAUAAUAGUUAUUAAUUGGGUUGACUAUUUCGCAUUUUUUGUCCGCUUACGAAGUUAUCUCUGGAAUUCGAGUUUCGAAGUAUGCAUAUGACUUCAGAAACUUAGGGAUCUUAAAACAAAACAUAAACACUUAAAUAAACGUUUUUCUUUCCUUUCACGAUCCAGUGAAAUCGAGCAAGAAACCGUUAACAAUUUUCAGAACACCCAGAAACUUAACCUAAACCUGGAAACAUAACCUAACUUAACCGCUUCGUGUUCCCGUUUAGAUAUUGCAAGUUAUUCAGGAUGCUGUUACAACUAUCAUAGAAUAUUCAAUAUCCAAUAGUUAAAAUUUUAAUAAUUUUUUAUUUUGUAAACAAAUUCAAAUUCAAAACUUUGAAAUUUUUGAGAUUUCGAUAUAUAAAUGUAUAUUUGUACUUAUUUUAUUUAUAAUCUAUAAAUAAAAUCAAUAAAUAAAUAAAUAAAAAUAUACAAAUAUACAAUAUUUAAGGAUUUUAAAUGUAAUUGAAGUGAUAUUUUAUUGUUGAAAAAUAAUAUUGUUCUUUUUAUUAUUGAUACUUAUACUGCUAAUAUAUUUUCAAUUUUCAUAUCUCUGAAUACGUAAUUAACCCGUUAAGUGAUCUAUGUCUGAAUAGUCUUAUCUUACUUGUUUACAAGCAAUGGAUGUUCAAAUUCGAUUAUCUUAAAAAUUAAAUCAAUUAAAAAUAAAUAAUUUAAAUUUCUAUUCUAUAUUUCUUUCAUAUAUAUUUUUUCAACUUUCAAAUCAUAAAAAUCCAAAAAGAUCGUUUAACCUAAUCUAACCUAAUAUAUAUACCGCACAUUCAUCAUAAGAUGGUCAGACAAACUAUGCGUUCUCAUUCUUCAUUCCACUUUUAUUGGUAUCACGCGUAUUCUCACUAUUGGCUAACACAAAGUGACAAAGAUCGAGAAUGGAAAAACAUACCGAGGCAAAAUAAAAUAGAAAUGAUUUCGCAACAUAACUGACAUAACCUCUCAAUUAAAGUAUCAAACUAUAAGCAAACAGAAUUCCUCUGAUUUAAAUAGAACAACUUAUUUGAUAAUAUAAAGCCAUAUAUAAAGACAUCCUAUUUCGAUCUAUGUCUCGACUAACAACGACAGCGCGUGUGCGGUUGCAAAAGAAACGGAACAAAGAGCGCAAAUACUCUGCCAUCUUCUGGCGAACAGACCGUACUUAUUCGUUACUUUUCCAAUUCGACGUCGUACCAAAUCGUUUCUUCAUUGUUUCUUUCCGUCCAUCCCCAUCGAUCACCAAACACUACCCCACGUGGAUACAUAUUACGAAACACCCCGUGUAUAUCGCUCAUGAAGAAAAUAGGUCGAACGUGAGCAUGUCCCGUAAAGGGAGCCACUCUCCGGGUCAGUAAUAAUUCGGAACGUACGUGCGCUCGCGCGACCCACUCUCGACGUGCAUACGAUGCAUUUUUCCCGCCGACUUCCGGCCGCCCUCCUCCCCUGGGAUGUCAGCCGGGCUAACCAGUGCGAUGCUUACCGGAAUUUACCGGGGAGACUGGCUGGGAAUUAUCUGGUGAGGGUGAAGGUGGGGUGGAAAGAAGCAAGCUUUGGAUUCGUAGUUUGAUGUUCUUCUUCGAUGAAUUUUAUACGAAUUUUACGGUAGGAUCGUUCCGUUAUGUGAACCAAUUGGGGGAUAAAAGUGUUUCGCGUGAGACAGGGCAAUGAAUAUUUUUGUAUACAGGGUGUCUCAUUUUGAUCUAUCCAUUAACGUUAUUUAAUUAAAUCUAGGAAAAGUUUAUCAGAAAAGAAAUAACUGUAUAUUAUGAAAGCAUAAUAGAAAAAAGAAAUGGAGUUACGUGAAAUUUUAACAGGAAUAAAAAGUUUUGGAAAGUUUGGACGCAAAUAUUUUCUUGGAUGAUAUUAUUUGGAAUGUAAAAAAAAAAUUUUUUUUUAUUAAUUAUUUCAAAAUGUAUAUAUAAUUUUUAUAUAUAGCACAUCGAUACAAAUCUGUGACUAUAGACAUCGUUUUGCGUCAUCUGGUUAAAAAAAGUUUGAUCAAUUUUCUAAUAAUAAUAGAGACGAUCAUGUUGAAUAAUUCAUCCAAUUAAACUGACUAAUUUUUUCAUUAAAUGUGAACUAGUUUUAAUUUAAAUUUUAAUGUCAUUGUAAAUGUAAAUUUAUAAUACAAAAUGAAUAAUAUAUAAUGAAUAAAUGGAAAAAGAAUGUUAUAUAACAUUUAUUAAAAAUCUUAAAAUAUUCUAUCUACUAAA